GUCCCAUCAGCUAAGUUGGUUGAGGGUAAUAGGGCUCACCAAGGCGAAGACGGGUAGCUGGUCUGAGAGGAUGAUCAGCCACACUGGAACUGAGACACGGUCCAGACUCCUACGGGAGGCAGCAGUGGGGAAUAUUGCGCAAUGGGCGAAAGCCUGACGCAGCCACGCCGCGUGAGCGAUGAAGGUCUUCGGAUCGUAAAGCUCUGUGGGGGGAGAAGAAGAAAGUCGGUGAAGAGCCGGCCCUGACGGUAUCCCCUUAGCAAGCACCGGCUAACUCCGUGCCAGCAGCCGCGGUAAUACGGAGGGUGCAAACGUUGCUCGGAAUCAUUGGGCGUAAAGCGCGCGUAGGCGGCUGAACAAGUUGGAUGUGAAAGCCCUGGGCUCAACCUAGGAUGUGCAUUCAAAACUGUUCGGCUUGAGUCUCGGAGGGGGUCAGAGAAUUCUCGGUGUAGAGGUGAAAUUCGUAGAUAUCGGGAGG
rnacentral:rRNA from 1 species